rnacentral:rRNA from 1 species
GAUGAACGCUGGCGGCGUGCCUAAUACAUGCAAGUCGAGCGAACAGACGAGGAUCUUGCUCCUCUGACGUUAGCGGCGGACGGGUGAGUAACACGUGUAUAACCUACCUAUAAGACUGGUAUAACUUCGGGAAACCGGAGCUAAUACCGUAUAAUAUAUUGAACCGCGCGGGUCAAUAGUGAAAGACGGUGUUUCGGUCACGUAUAGAUGGAUCUGCGCCGCAUUAGAUAGUUGGGAAGGUAACGGCUUACCAAGGCAACGAGGCGUAGCCGACGGGAGAGGCUGAUAGGCCACCUUGGAACUGAGCCACGGUCAAGAGUCCUACGGGAGGCAGCAGUAGCGAAUCUUACGCAACGGGCGAAAGCCUGACGGAGCAGCGGCGAGUGAGUGACGACGGUCUUGGGAUCGUAAAAACCUGUUAUGAGGGAAGAACAACUGUCUAAGUAAACAUGGCCGUAUUGACGGUAACUAAUAAGAAAGCAACGGCUAACUACGUG